GAUGAACGCUAGCUACAGGCUUAACACAUGCAAGUCGAGGGGAAACGGUGAGAGAGCUUGCUCUCUUAGUCGUCGACCGGCGCACGGGUGAGUAACGCGUAUCCAACCUGCCUCUGACCAAGGGAUAACCCGUCGAAAGUCGGACUAAUACCUUAUGCAGUCGUCGGAAGUCAUCUGAUGACGACGAAAGAUUUCAUCGGUGAGAGAUGGGGAUGCGUCUGAUUAGCUUGUUGGCGGGGUAACGGCCCACCAAGGCGACGAUCAGUAGGGGUUCUGAGAGGCAGGUCCCCCAGAUUGGAGCUGAGACACGGACCAAACUCCUACGGGAGGGAGCAGUGUGGAAUAUUGGGCAAUGGGCGUAAGCCUGAACCAGCCGAGUAGCGUGCAGGAUGACGGCCCUAUGGGUUGUAAACUGCUUGUAUGCGGGGAUAAAGUGAGGGACGUGUCCUUCAUUGCAGGUACCGCAUGAAUAAGGACCGGCUAAUUCCGUG
rnacentral:rRNA from 1 species